rnacentral:rRNA from 1 species
AUUGAACGCUGGCGGCAGGCCUAACACAUGCAAGUCGAGCGGAUGAAGGGAGCUUACUCCUGGAUUCAGCGGCGGACGGGUGAGUAAUGCCUAGGAAUCUGCCUGGUAGUGGGGGAUAACGUCCGGAAACGGGCGCUAAUACCGCAUACGUCCUGAGGGAGAAAGUGGGGGAUCUUCGGACCUCACGCUAUCAGAUGAGCCUAGGUCGGAUUAGCUAGUUGGUGGGGUAAAGGCCUACCAAGGCGACGAUCCGUAACUGGUCUGAGAGGAUGAUCAGUCACACUGGAAGUGAGCCACGGUCCAGACUCCUACGGGAGGCAGCAGUGGGGAAUAUUGGACAAUGGGCGAAAGCCUGAUCCAGCCAUGCCGCGUGUGUGAAGAAGGUCUUCGGAUUGUAAAGCACUUUAAGUUGGGAGGAAGGGCAGUAAGUUAAUACCUUGCUGUUUUGACGUUACCAACAGAAUAAGCACCGGCUAACUUCGUG